rnacentral:rRNA from 1 species
UACAGAGGGUGCGAGCGUUGUCCGGAAUCACUGGGCGUAAAGGGCGCGUAGGCGGCUUGAUAAGGUUGCGGUGAAAGCCCGGGGCUCAACCCCGGGUCGGCCGUGGCAACUGUCGAGCUGGAGCACUGUAGAGGCAGGUGGAAUUCCGGGUGUAGCGGUGGAAUGCGUAGAGAUCCGGAAGAACACCGGUGGCGAAGGCGGGUCUCUGGGCCGAUACGUGACGCUGAGGCAGCGAAAGCAUGGGUAGCGAACAGG